CAGUAGCCGCGGUAAUACGUAGGGGGCAAGCGUUAUCCGGAAUUACUGGGUGUAAAGGGAGCGUAGACGGUUAAACAAGUCUGAAGUGAAAUGCCGGGGCUCAACCCCGGAGCUGCUUUGGGAACUGUAGAACUGGAGUGUCGGAGGGGUAAGCGGAAUUCCCAGUGUAGCGGUGAAAUGCGUAGAUAUUGGGAGGAACACCGGCGGCGAAGGCGGCUUACUGGACGACAACUGACGUUGAGGCUCGAAGGCGUGGGUAGCAAACUGGAUUAGAUACCCCAGUAGUCCCUGUCUCUUAUAC
rnacentral:rRNA from 1 species